AUGUCUCACUGUCUGGGCAGGUCUGUCUCACUGUCUGUGCAGGUCUGUCUCACUGUCUGUGCAGGUCUUUCUCACUGUCUGGGCAGGUCUGUCUCACUGUCUGUGCAGGUCUGUCUCACUGUCUGGGCAGGUCUGUCUCACUGUCUGUGCAGGUCUGUCUCACUGUCUGUGCAGGUCUGUCUCACUGUCUGUGCAGGUCUGUCUCACUGUCUGUGCAGGUCUGUCUCACUGUCUGUGCAGGUCUUUCUCACUGUCUGUGCAGGUCUUUCUCACUGUCUGUGCAGGUCUUUCUCACUGUCUGUGCAGGUCUUUCUCACUGUCUGUGCAGGUCUUUCUCACUGUCUGUGCAGGUCUUUCUCACUGUCUGGACAGGUCUGUCUCACUGUCUGUGCAGGUCUGUCUCACUGCCUGUGCAGGUCUGUCUCACUGUCUGGACAGGUCUGUCUCACUGUCUGUGCAGGUCUGUCUCACUGUCUGUGCAGGUCUGUCUCACUGUCUGUGCAGGUCUUUCUCACUGUCUGUGCAGGUCUUUCUCACUGUCUGUGCAGGUCUUUCUCACUGUCUGUGCAGGUCUUUCUCACUGUCUGUGCAGGUCUUUCUCACUGUCUGUGCAGGUCUUUCUCACUGUCUGUGCAGGUCUGUCUCACUGUCUGGGCAGGUCUGUCUCACUGUCUGUGCAGGUCUGUCUCACUGUCUGUGCAGGUCUGUCUCACUGUCUGUGCAGGUCUGUCUCACUGUCUGUGCAGGUCUGUCUCACUGUCUGUGCAGGUCUGUCUCACUGUCUGUGCAGGUCUGUCUCACUGUCUGGGCAGGUCUGUCUCACUGUCUGUGCAGGUCUGUCUCACUGUCUGUGCAGGUCUGUCUCACUGUCUGUGCAGGUCUGUCUCACUGUCUGUGCAGGUCUGUCUCACUGUCUGUGCAGGUCUUUCUCACUGUCUGUGCAGGUCUUUCUCACUGUCUGUGCAGGUCUUUCUCACUGUCUGUGCAGGUCUUUCUCACUGUCUGUGCAGGUCUUUCUCACUGUCUGUGCAGGUCUUUCUCACUGUCUGGACAGGUCUGUCUCACUGUCUGUGCAGGUCUGUCUCACUGCCUGUGCAGGUCUGUCUCACUGUCUGGACAGGUCUGUCUCACUGUCUGUGCAGGUCUGUCUCACUGUCUGUGCAGGUCUGUCUCACUGUCUGUGCAGGUCUUUCUCACUGUCUGUGCAGGUCUUUCUCACUGUCUGUGCAGGUCUUUCUCACUGUCUGUGCAGGUCUUUCUCACUGUCUGUGCAGGUCUUUCUCACUGUCUGUGCAGGUCUUUCUCACUGUCUGUGCAGGUCUGUCUCACUGUCUGGGCAGGUCUGUCUCACUGUCUGUGCAGGUCUGUCUCACUGUCUGUGCAGGUCUGUCUCACUGUCUGUGCAGGUCUGUCUCACUGUCUGUGCAGGUCUGUCUCACUGUCUGUGCAGGUCUGUCUCACUGUCUGUGCAGGUCUGUCUCACUGUCUGGGCAGGUCUGUCUCACUGUCUGUGCAGGUCUGUCUCACUGUCUGUGCAGGUCUGUCUCACUGUCUGUGCAGGUCUGUCUCACUGUCUGUGCAGGUCUGUCUCACUGUCUGUGCAGGUCUGUCUCACUGUCUGUGCAGGUCUGUCUCACUGUCUGUGCUAUUGGAUAG
rnacentral:lncRNA from 1 species